CAAAUGCUGUAUGACUUCUUUAUAUAACCUGUUUUAUAGAGUUUUAUACAGUUUCAUUGUUUCAAUAUGAAACAAAUCUUUAGAUAUAACACAAUUUGAAACUGUACACAAACUGAAUUCUUUCUCUGUUUUUCCUAGAGGGGAGAAAAAAACUACAGACUGCAUUGUUUGAAUGGCUAUGUAUUAGUGGAUGAAGGAAAUACAUCCUUUUCUUCCUCAAUAGAGCUACAUCCAAGGUACAGAGCUUCAAUAGAAUCCAGUAAAAAUUGCAGAAGAAUAUUAGAGAAGGACUGGAUUUUUAUGACAAGGAGAAUUUAACUUCAGGACUAAUCAAGAUUACCGGAGUUGACUGCGGGAAGGAG
ensembl:lncRNA